rnacentral:rRNA from 1 species
GGGUUAGUAACGCGUGGGAACGUACCCUUUUCUACGGAAUAGCCUCGGGAAACUGAGAGUAAUACCGUAUACGCCCUUCGGGGGAAAGAUUUAUCGGGGAAGGAUCGGCCCGCGUCUGAUUAGAUAGUUGGUGGGGUAAUGGCCUACCAAGUCUACGAUCAGUAGCUGGUUUUAGAGGAUGAUCAGCAACACUGGGACUGAGACACGGCCCAGACUCCUACGGGAGGCAGCAGUGGGGAAUCUUAGACAAUGGGCGCAAGCCUGAUCUAGCCAUGCCGCGUGAGUGAUGAAGGCCUUAGGGUCGUAAAGCUCUUUCGCCAGAGAUGAUAAUGACAGUAUCUGGUAAAGAAACCCCGGCUAACUCCGUGCCAGCAGCCGCGGUAAUACGGAGGGGGUUAGCGUUGUUCGGAAUUACUGGGCGUAAAGCGCACGUAGGCGGAUCAGAAAGUUGGGGGUGAAAUCCCGGGGCUCAACCCCGGA